rnacentral:lncRNA from 1 species
AGCGGAAAAGCCAACUGUGACAGUCUGUUCUAGUCCUGUCAUACUCAAUGAAGGUGAUAACUUCACAUGUGAAUGUCAAUGACUAAAUGGAAACCCUCCAGCCAAUGUAACGUGGUACAAAGAUGGCAAGCAGAUUGGUAAAACAAGGACAGAAAAAAAAAUAUUAACUUUGAUCAAAGUUGAUGAAACAGAUAGUGCAACUUACAAGUGUAUAGCUACUCCAAUGCAAUGUACAGAGAUGAAAAAUCAAUCAGAGUAGACGUUAAAUGUAAGUAUGAUUGACACUCAAGUCAAAUUUUCCAAAUCUAUUUAAAGAACGUUUGAAUUUAGAAUUUAAAAUUUAAACUACUGCCUUUAAUUAACCUUCCUCAAACCAAUUCAUGCAUGGAUGCAGUGUGACCCUCUAACUGGCUGUGCAAAAAUUAGAGAUAAAUAGCUGAUAAUGCUUUGGAGUUUGAAUAUUGUGGCCUAUGAUGUUAACAAAGCCUUUUUGUCCAUUCUGUCUGGUGGGUGAUGACGUCUGUCUGAUGGGUGACGACUAUUUAUAGAACUGAUCUACAGGGUGUAUAAAAGAAAA